ACCUUUCCCACAAUCCUCUGAGAAGGGGUGUCAGUUGGAAUGUAGAUUGCGAAGGAGAAGGUUUGGAGAGAAAGAGAGCAGGGAGAGGAAUUCACCGGAACCAUGACUGACAAGUUGCCAGUGAUGAGAAUUGGAGUUGUGGGAUAUGGACAUUUAGGGCAGUACCUUGUGGAGCGGCUCCAGAGAGAAGGGGCCCAGGUGGGCCUGACACUGGUCUUUGUGUGGAACAGAAACACUGACAAACUCAGAGAAUCAGUGGCUGAGGAGCUGAUUCUACACAACCUCCCAGACUUUACAGACAGGGGUGCUGAUGUGAUUGUGGAGGUGUGUCAUCCCAAAAUUGUAAAAGACUUUGGAGUCCAAUUCCUCUCUAAGGCCCAUUUUCUGGU